rnacentral:rRNA from 1 species
UGUGAGUGAAGAACAAUCGGCGUAAAUAAGCUCUUUUGUCAGGGAAGAAACCCGGCUCUAACACACUCCGGGAAUGACGGUACCUGAAGAAUAAGCACCGGCUAACUACGUGCCAGCAGCCGCGGUAAUACGUAGGGUGCGAGCGUUAAUCGGAAUUACUGGGCGUAAAGCGUGCGCAGGCGGUUAUACAAGACAGGCGUGAAAUCCCCGGGCUUAACCUGGGAAUGGCGCCUGUGACUGUAUAGCUAGAGUGUGUCAGAGGGGGGUAGAAUUCCACGUGUAGCAGUGAAAUGCGUAGAUAUGUGGAGGAAUACCAAUGGCGAAGGCAGCCCCCUGGGAUAACACUGACGCUCAUGCACGAAAGCGUGGGGAGCAAACAGGAUUAGAUACCCUGGUAGUCCACGCCCUAAACGAUGCUGACUAGUUGUUCGGGAUUUACAUCCUGAGUAACGUAGCUAACGCGUGAAGUCAGCCGCCUGGGGAGUACGGUCGCAAGAUUAAAACUCAAAGGAAUUGACGGGGACCCGCACAAGCGGUGGAUGAUGUGGCUUAAUUCGAUGCCACGCGACAAACCUUACCUA